CGGGAUGUAGCGCAGCCCGGUAGCGCACACGUCUGGGGGGCGUGGGGUCGUGUGUUCGAAUCACAUCAUCCCGA
rnacentral:tRNA from 1 species